ACCUUGUGGAGGACGUGGUUGACAGAGCCAUGAGAGGAGAGAGAGAGAAAGCGUUCCCACAAAGGAGGUGGGGAAAGGGAGAAGCACACAAAAAGACUCUUUGCUACUUCCAGUUUGGACUGAAAAAAAAGCUUUGGAAGAAAACAAACUGCAGUAAGUAGGAGUAUACCCAUUAACAACUAAAACUAAAGACAAAGAUGAAGAAGACUGAAGAGGGAAUGAAAGGCAGCACAUUGGUUUUGUGUUGCGUUUUUCCUUACAGAUUAUGAUCUGAACCUGAAGAAUUCUCUCUCUUAAUCUCAGUAUGAGGGCUAAUCUCAUGCCUCGUCUGUGGAAAACUGGAUGAUGAAUUGCUCGUUUCCAGCAACAAAAACAACAGACAUUCAGGAUGGACCCCAAAGACCAAGCAGUGAAUCUUCUAAACAAGAUUUGGGCCAAGCUGCAGGGUUUGCCCAAUGCCAGCCCCGUCGAGCUCGGAGCUUUCUUCAUCCUCUUAACAUUCAUCUUGAUUGUUGUUGCCAUGGCCAUUCUGAUCUGUACAACAUACUCCUGCUGUUGCUGCUGCCGCAAGGACAAAAAGGAGGGAGGAAACAUUUGAAGGCAUCUAAACUACACCCAUCCAUUUUCUACACCACUUAACCUCAUUAAAUUAAUCUAAACCACACAUCAAAUUUAAAAGACAGAGACAACCUGUGACAGGACGCUGCCCAUGCAAAUGAGGUCAGGCAAGAUGUGUCCAGGGGGCUAGAAGAGGCCCAGCCCUCUAACAACAAAGCAACUGACACCAACACUGACGUCCUGACUGGCAGCCUAACACGCCCUCUGGAGCUGACUGUCAAGACAAUCGACAUUCCUUGGAACAGUCAUGUACAACAACAUCUCUCCUUGCUGGAUGACAAGACACAACCAACCAAAUCAUAUUUAAACAUGUAGACACAAAAACAAAAUAUGGGCAAGUCAACAUGAUGAUUUAGGUGAACAUGCUUUUUUUUUAAAUCUCAGAACAACAUGAAGUUGCACAUUAAAAACUUUUUAACUGCC